rnacentral:misc_RNA from 1 species
AAAAAAAAAGGCUUUUUUUUUUUUUUUUUUCCCCAAAAAAAAAAAUAAGGGGGGGGGUUUUCCCCCGGGGGGGGGGCCACAAAAAAAAAAAGGGGGGUUUUUGGGGGGGCCCCCCGGGGAUUUUAAAAGGGGUUGGUUUUUCCCGGUUUUUAGGGCCUAAGGUACCGAAGACCCCGCGAUGAAUUGGGGCCCCGGCCGGGGGGCCCGGGCGCCCCAACACCAAGCGGGUUGGGUGAAAGACGCUGAAACAGCAUGCCCGCCGAAUAGCCGCGGGCGCAAUGUGCUUUCAAAGAUUUGAUGAUUUCAAUGAAUUUCUGCAAUUCACCAUUACUUAUCGCAUUUCGCUGCGUUCUUUCAUCGAUGCCAGAACCAAGAGAUCCGUUGUGAAAGUUUUGAUUAUUUGUCUUUCAGGCUCAGAGAUACUGAAAAAAUAAGAGUUUGAACCUCCGGCGGGUGCCCGCCGAAGCAACGACAGAGGUUAUGUUCACAGGGUUGAGUUUUUCAACUCAGUAAUGAUCCUUGAACCUGCGGAGGGAUCAUUACUGAGUUGAAAAACUCCAACCCCUGUGAACAUAACCUCUGUCGUUGCUUCGGCGGGCACGCCCGCCGGAGGUUCAAAACUCUUAUUUUUUCCAGUAUCUCUGAGCCUGAAAGACAAAUAAUCAAAACUUUCAACAACGGAUCUCUUGGUUCUGGCAUCGAUGAAGAACGCAGCGAAAUGCGAUAAGUAAUGUGAAUUGCAGAAUUCAGUGAAUCAUCGAAUCUUUGAACGCACAUUGCGCCCGCCGGUAUUCCGGCGGGCAUGCCUGUUCGAGCGUCAUUUCAACCCUCAAGCCUCGGCUUGGGUGUUGGGGCGCCCGGGCCCACCGCGGCCCGGGACUACCUGGGCGGGCGGAGGGCCCACCGGCACCCCGAAAGAAGGAAUAAGAGGUCAAAGACUCACGUGACCGUUCGAGGGAAGGGCGCGCCCACGCCCCACCCAUGAGAGGGAUUAGGCGCGGGGGGACCCUCCCGGCUAAUCGGCGUCACUCGGAGGCCCGCAGAAAAAACGUUUGGGAUUGAAAAACACCCCGCGGUGAGAUAACCUC